CUUGACUUCUGGCUGCCGUUCCGUCUGACAUCAACAACUACAUGCUCACGUUACUCCAAGACUGGAGAGUUGCUACGAACUGUGUGUGGAAGCCAGGCGAACAAGCUGAGCACACUUAGCGCCCUUGGAAGCGGAAGGAGGGCACGUCAGACCAGUAAGAGGCCACGGGGAAGACCCAGGACACUUUGGGAAGACUAUGUUUCCCGGCUGGCCUGAGAACGCCUCGGGAUCCCCCGGGAAGAGCUGGAUGAAGUGGCUGGGGAGAGGGAAGUCUAUGGGCUUCCCUGCUUAGGCUGCUUCCCCCGCGACCCGACCUCGGAUAAGCUGAAGAAGUGUUUUGAGUUGAGAGCUCCGUCACAGUAAGUUGAGGUACUAUUACGAUUUUUUUUCUAGAACCUGUUUGUCCCACAUUGAACAAAUCCACUCUAAAAGCUUUCUGUUGGACUCGUGGCUAACUUUCCUUCUCCCCCCUUCGGCGAGGCACGCUCUCAUCUCGUUCAAAUCCUUUUUUCCCCUUCCUAUUUCUGAUUCUUUUGGGGUCACUGUGGAACAGUUUUUUCCCUAGCAGCACUCCCCUUAGACACUAUACGGCUGUCUGAUUUGCGCGCAGUGUUUGCUGUGGUGGCCCCCGACCCGCUGUAGUGUCUGUCUCAGGAAAGGCGAUAAUAGACAACCUAUAGCGCCCCCUGGUGUAGGGCUUGAAAAGUGUGAUGUGGAGACGCU